AAUUACUGUAUAUCAUAAUAUUUUCUUAACAGCAAAUGCACAUUUUCUUCACCUUUGACUUUGUACACCUCUAGGUUUUGAAAGCAAAUCGACCCAUGCUGCAGGAUUAUCACAGGGUUGUUGCCACCCCUGAAAUAUUCCUUGUGGUAGUACUGAUUGCUGGUUAAGAUGGCUACAUUUAAAUACUCAUCUUCUGAAGCUUUCUGUGGAGAAAUUAAAAAACAUAUAUCUUGUAUAAAGUCAUAGAUAACAAUCAAAAGAAUAAAAAGUAUUUGUUCUUCAGUAGUCCAUCUGUGUAACUAUCAUUAGAAUUGUAUGAGGAGCCUAGCCCAAUUACUUUUCAUGAUUUAAGUGAAUUUAGCAUUUUCUUGUUGCUUGUACUUUGUAUGUAGAUUCUCUAGAUGCCAAUAAUGAUGGGUUAACUUUUAAAGAAGUGAAUAUAUAUACACAUAUGUGUAUAUACCUAUAUAUAAAUUGAGGAGACGAUUUAACUUUUGAAAACGAUGUCUUGACUGAAUACUGCAAAGCCAAAGACAAAAAAGCAAACGCUGUAUUCUAAUUGGUUACUUUGUUUCUCAUAAAGGGACAGGUUAGCAAUUAUGUAACUAUGUUAUGUAACUAGUUUACACAUAUAGUAGAGUUUAACAAAUAAGCAAAUAAAUCUUAGCUAAUAGGAGACAGGUUUCUCAGCAACAGAAAAGUUACAAAUAAGCAAGGGGUAAGGUGAGGCUAGAAUGAAUCCUGUGGUGCUGAGAGUUGGAGAUAUCAGUAUAAACUCGUUUAUUUCAAUAAACUGUAGGUAUAUAUGUAUAGGUAUCUGUGUAUACAUACAAACAUUUCCUAGCUGUGUCCACUGAGGGGGCCUACACAGUGAUAACCUAGUAGCAGUAGCAAUGAGCACAUCUUGUGCCCAGAUCUUGGUUUCUAAAACCAUUUUUCAGUACAGGGAACAAUGGUUUCUUGGGAAAAAAAAAUCACUGAUUCUAGGGCUGGGCAGGAAAAAUAAAAGAUGAGCUUGCAGCAUAUUGGAGCGCUGGAGAGUAAGGAAGUGCUGAAAAAAAAAAAAUAAGGCCAAACAAACAAAAAACACAUAGGGAGAGGCAUGUCAAAAGGAAACAGGAACAAAUUUUCCAAGAGCUCUCAAAGGCCAAAGCUGCAACACUUUGAGCAACAGUAUGAUAGUACUGGAUUACAACCCAAAGAACAAUGUAUAUAUCCAUGAGUCCACACUGAUAAAAAAUAUUGGAUAACAAUUUUCCUUAAGUAAGCUUCUAAUUAAUAAAUGUAUCAGGAAAUAGGAAGGUGAAACAUCUGGUGAACCUUUGAGCUGGCUAAUAAAUGUUUUUGCCAACCAACCUAUUUUGUGUUCCUUCUGAUGCAUAACAAUGGAAAGAGGAUUUUUUUCCCCUAUGAGUUUUGAAAAUCAGAAAUACCUUUGUGUCCAUCACCAGUAAUGUUGAAACUAUUUUCUAUAACUUGUCAUGCCCUACAAACCUUACUUUAAUCAAAUAUUGUGCAGCUUAACACACCUCAUAAUCAGUCAUGCUAUUUGAUGAAACUUUAUCCUUUUAAUAAGACAUUUUCUAACAUUCCAAUGACUGCCCCUUUAUUUCAUAUUUCCUCUUCACUUUGUAUUCGUACUUGACAUUGUGAAAUGAGGACCAGGCCAGAUGGGGUUUCUCCUCGUUGGUCAGGCUGGU
rnacentral:lncRNA from 1 species